rnacentral:rRNA from 1 species
AUACGGAGGGAGCUAGCGUUGUUCGGAAUUACUGGGCGUAAAGCGUGCGUAGGCGGAUCGACAAGUUGGGGGUGAAAUCCCAGGGCUCAACCCUGGAACUGCCCUCAAAACUGUUGAUCUAGAGACCGGGAGAGGUAAGCGGAAUUCCUAGUGUAGAGGUGAAAUUCGUAGAUAUUAGGAAGAACACCAGUGGCGAAGGCGGCUUACUGGACCGGUACUGACGCUGAGGUACGAAAGCGUGGGGAGCGAACAGGAUUAGAAACCCCAGUAGUCC